rnacentral:rRNA from 1 species
UAUUAUUCCAAGAUUAAAUAAUAACCCCUAGUUAGUAGUAGAUAUUUACUUAAAAUCUAAAAAAUUUGGCGGUAAUUUAAUCUUUUCAGAGGAACUUGUUUUUUAAUCGAUAAACCACGAAAUAUCUUACUUAUCUUAGUAAAAAGUUUGUAUACCAUCAUUAUCAGGUAAUUUUAAAAAAAUAAAUUACUAGGUUUAAGUAUUUAGUUAAAUUAGAUCAUGGUGCAGCAUAUAGAUAAGUUAAAAUGGGUUACAAUAAAUUGUUUUAUACGGAUAAAUAAAUUAAUAUUUUUUUAGAAGGAGGAUUUGAUUGUAUUCUGAGUUUAGUAUGUUUAGAAGAUGGUAGCUCUAAAUUAUGUACAUAU